AUUGAACGCUGGCGGCAGGUCUAACACAUGCAAGUCGAGCGGAGCGGCGGACGGGUUAGUAAUGCCUAGGAACCUGCCUGGUAGUGGGGGACAACGUCCGGAAACGGGCGCUAAUACCGCAUACUAUUUGAUGAGCCUAGGUCGGAUUAGCUAGUUGGUGGGGUAAAGGCCUACCAAGGCGACGAUCCGUAACUGGUCUGAGAGGAUGAUCAGUCACACUGGAACUGAGACACGGUCCCGACUCCUACGGGAGGCAGCAGUGGGGAAUAUUGGACAAUGGGCGAAAGCCUGAUCCAGCCAUGCCGCGUGUGUGAAGAAGGUCUUCGGAUUGUAAAGCACUUUAAGUUGGGAGGCGUUACCAACAGAAUAAGCACCGGCUAACUUCGGGCCAGCAGCCGCGGUAAUUC
rnacentral:rRNA from 1 species